rnacentral:rRNA from 14 species
UUUAGCAAGCACUUUGUGUAAACUCUGUAUAAAGAGUAAAAUAUACAAAAUUGACGUGAUUAACGAAAUCGGAAAAGCACUAAUGUUUGUUAAAUC